UCCCCGUUACCGGGGCAGUCUAGCUAGAAAAAUUCAACUAACUAUAAGGGUUGCGCUCGUUGAUGGACUUAACCAAACAUCUCACGACACGAGCUGACGACGGCCAUGCAACACCUGUCACUCAGUUCAAUAAAGCACUCUCUCCUUUCGGAGAAAUUCUGAGGAUGUCAAACCCUGGUAAGGUUCUUCGCUUACCAUCGAAUUAAACAACACGCUCCACCGCUUGUGCGGGUCCCCGUCAAUUCCUUUAUGUUUUAGCCUUGCGGCCGUACUCCACAGGCGGGAUGCUUAACGCGUUAGCUUCGCUACGGAAGGGGUCGAUACCCCCCACAGCUAGCAUCCAUAGUUUACGGCGUGGACUAC
rnacentral:misc_RNA from 1 species